UUUUUUCCCCUCCUCAGAGGAUGUGGUAUGGCUUCAGCCAAUAAUUUAGAAUCAUCAGAGAGUGACACGGCAUCAAAAGCAACACUAAAUGUACUGAUCCUCUUCUUCGCCUGGGCUAUCAGCUGCAAUUUACAUGGUGCUGUCGGCUUAUUUCCUUGCUUGGUGCUUGAGUAUGACUGAUGAUACAAGUCUCAACACAGAGCUGGGAACAGCAUCAGAUUCCCUUACACCCGGUGACAGAGUUGUCUAAGAAGUCAUGCUGCCACUUUCUGUCACUACUAUGCCUGGACAUCAUGCCCCCUCCCCCAACUGUCUGCAAGGAAUGGACAAUGCACCCUAACAUGACUUCUUCCAGCCCCACUAUCAUGUGGCAAGGCUUCCUUUGGAUUUUGCAAAGGGAAGGUGGAUGGGGGUGGAAGAUAGGACUGAUGAGAAGCUGCUCACAUCUGCUGCUUUUGAGACAUUUUAUCCUUUUUAACUCUCAUUUGUUUACCUUUUUGCUGGAAGGAGAUAUAAAGGCUUAAAUGUUCCGGCUUUUCUCUUAGUCCUCUCCCACCCAGCACAAUAUUAGAAUGAGACCUGUAGAUUUCCUCUGACUUUUAAAUGGAAAAGCCACCAGUGUAAACACUAAACCUCAUCAUGCGUAUAAGCCAGAUGCCAUUGAGUUAAAGAUUUAGAAACCUUAAGUCAGAAUUUUGUUACUGAAUUAUCUGAAUGGCUAGACAUGUCAAUGGGCCAUAGUAACCUGGAAAAGCCAUAUAACAUUGCAAAGCAUGAAAUAUGAAACAGAAAAUUGAUGCAUAAAUAAACUUUUCAGGGCUUGCCUCGA